rnacentral:rRNA from 1 species
GACGAACGCUGGCGGCGUGCCUAAUACAUGCAAGUAGAACGCAGUUGCGAACGGGUGAGUAACGCGUAGGUAACUGCCUGGUAGCGGGGGAUAACUAUUGGAAACGAUAGCUAAUACCGCAUACUACCAGAUGGACCUGCGUUGUAUUAGCUAGUUGGUGAGGUAACGGCUCACCAAGGCAACGAUACAUAGCCGACCUGGGAGGGUGGACGGGCACACUGGGACUGAGCAACGGGCCAGACUCCUAAGGGAAGCAGCAGUAGGGAAUCUUCGGCAAUGGGGGGAAACCUGACCGAGCAACGCCGCGUGAGUGGAGAAGGUUUUCGGAUCGUAAAGCUCUGUUGUUCAGGAAGCGGUACUUAACCAGAAAGGGACGGCUAACUACGUGCCAGCCGCCGCGGUAAUUC